ACGUAGGGUGCAAGCGUUAAUCGGAAUUACUGGGCGUAAAGGGUGCGCAGGCGGUGACACAAGCCAGAUGUGAAAUCCCCGAGCUUAACUUGGGAACGGCGUUCGGAACUGUGUCGCUAGAGUAUGUCAGAGGGGGGUAGAAUUCCUGGUGUAGCAGUGAAAUGCGUAGAUAUCAGGAGGAAUACCGAUGGCGAAGGCAGCCCCCUGGGAUAAUACUGACGCUCAUGCACGAAAGCGUGGGGAGCAAACAG
rnacentral:rRNA from 1 species